CUUUUUAUGAGAAUUUGGGGUCUGCAUCCCACUGCUCUCCUGCUCCCUCAGGGGUUCUCUGUUGUGUUCCCUGUCACGGCAGUCAUGGGUAGUAGCCAGGCACCAUCUAGUUCUUCUGGUCUCAGGCUGAUGUAGUCUCUGGUUCAUGUGGCCCUUUCUGUCUCUUGGGCUCGUAAUAACCUUGUGUCCUUGGUGUUCUUCCCUCUCCUUUGAUCCAGGUGUGUUGAGACUCAUUGAUGCAUCUUAGAUAGCCGCUUGCUAGUGUUUAAGACCCCAGAGGCCACUCUCCAAAGUGGGAUGCAGAAUGUUUGAAAGGCGUGUUUUUAAUAUGUUUGUUUUUGCUGAGCUGCUCUGAGGUUGUGGCUUUCAGUUUCCUUUUCCGGUUCGCCAGUAUGUAUGGAAGCAGAGAGAAUGUGCCUGGUGAUUGCACCAGCACUCGGGCCCUCAGGCUAGCGUUCGGGCCUACACACCCAGGAACAGCCGGAUCUUACUUUUGGCAAGGGGACGAUUCCUUGGUGCUGUCGAGUUGGUUCUGACUCAUAGCGACGCUAUGCACAACAGAAUGAAACACUGCCCGGUCCUGCGCCAUCCUUACAAUGGUUGUUAUGCUUGAGCUCAUUGUUGCAGCCACUGUGUCAAUCCCCCCCGUCAAGGAUCUUCCUCUUUUCUGCUGACCCUGUACUCUGCCAAGCAUGAUGUCCUUCUCCAGGGACUGAUCCCUUCUGACAACAUGUCCAAAUGGUGAAGGAUGGCUCAGAUGGAUUACAAAGUUCCCUUGGGCUCAGCAAGAGUUCCCACCUGCCUGAUACCUGGCCAGGUGACCCCAGAUGGAAGGUAGGUGGUGACGUGUCUGACCUUUUUGGGAACUUUGGAGGAAGCAGAGAAGGUGGAGAAGGUGUGGUGAGCCAAGCCCUGAGGAUGCCCCCAGUGUGCUGCUGCUGAGGCCUGAUGGGGCAAAGGACUUCAUUGGAAGUACAAGGAGUCCAGAGGUUGUACCACCUAUCCUAUCGGAGAACCUGCUCUGUGAAUGGCUCUUUGGGGGAAACUGAGGCCCUGAGAGGGUAGUGACUGGGCCAGAGUUCCUUGCCCACAUGAUGAGAGGCGGCGCAGGGAGAUGGCAGGACUCCAGACCCUGCACUCCACUGGCUUCCUAUUCAGGACUGCAGGAUGAUGGGAGAAGAGAGAGGAAGCCCGGUGUCUCCGGAAGCAAAAGAUGGUCCAGACAUAAGAAGUGAGGGGGUCAUGUUGUGGAAUGGUAUCCCCAGCACCAUCCUGGCUUUGUGAUCUUUCAAUAAAAAGACAAAACUGCAUGUGUGUGAGUAUAUAACCUUUGGAAUGUGUGCUUAGAUUUGUGUGUUUGUAGAAGCAGAGUCAAACCCGGAAGGCACAGUCUAAGCUGUUAUCAGAGGUAAUGGUGUCUGUGGGGAUAGAAUAGGCCUUCACUUUCAUCUUUAGAAAUUUUGUCUUAAAUCUUAGAGUCAGAAGGCCUGGUGGGGGCCUCCACUCAGUCCACUGAGAGCUGUGCGAGCCUGGGUAAAUCACUUUCCCUCUCUGGGCCUCAGUUUCUUCACCUGAUAAAUGAGGUUAGAGUUCUCUGCUCUGUUGACCCUGUAGCAGAUUUCUGGUAAUGCCUGGGCAGUGGGAGUGAGGGGGAAGUAGAGGUCAUGGUGGACUGGGGUGAACUGGAAGCACCCUCAGAUCCAGGUGAGGGUUGCUGGGUGAAGUGUGGGCCUAAUUUACCAGAUCUCUCAUUUUAAGAGAGUCUCAGAAUUAUAGAUUAUUUGGUAUAAAAGUUUCUAAGUUUUAAAUAUUGACACCGAAUAAAAAAAUUUAAACAUUGCAUAGGGCUCCCUUGUCUUCCCCUCCUUCUGCCCACCUUCCUCCCUUGCUCUUCUCCUCCCACCCACGACCCACUGGAGAGGCCUAACUCUGUGAAGUCUUGUAUUUUCACUUCCCUGUUACAGGCUAUUCCCAGUGUCCACAUGCCCUAGAGCUGAUAGUGACUUAGGGCAACCCCACGUGUAUCACUGUAGAACUGGACUCCAUAGGGUUUUCCAUGGCUGAUUUUUCAUUUGUAGAGUAACAGGUCUUUCUUAUGAGGGACCUCUGUGUUGACUUGAACCUCCAACCUUUUCGGUUAGCAGCUGAGGUUUUAACCAUUUGCACCACCCGGGGACUCCUACAGGCUACUAAGGGUAUCUUAUUAUAUGCAGCUUCUUUUUCCUCCUCAUUCUUUUUAAUGUCUCAGAGUAUUCCCUAGUAUGAAUGGACCCUAAUGUACCUAUCUGUUGCCUGUUGCCGUGUGUCUUCUAGCCAAUUUCGACUCACAGUGGCUCUAUAUGACAGAGUGGAACUACCCCAUAGGGUUUCCUAGGUGGUAAUCUUUAGGGAAACAGGCUGCCGCAUCUUUCUGCUGUGGAGCGGCUGGUGGGUUUGAACCACUGACUUUUGGCUCAGCCACCCAGUGCACAAGCAUUGUACCACCAGCGUUCCUCAUCUACUCCCUUAGGAAUGGGCACUUACUUAUUUCUCUCAGUUUUGGUGCUAAAUACAAUGCUGCACUAAACAUCCUAGAAUCCAUGUGCUGGCACCGGUAGGCUAUGGUCUCUGUAGCUUAGAGACCUAGGAGUGGGUUGCUGGAGCAGAGAAUAGGCAGGUGUUAGGAUAUUGGACCAUUGCCAGGUUGUCCUCCAAAACUCUGAAACAUUUUACACUUCUGUUUACAAGUAAUGAGGGAGUGCACACACACCCUCGCCGGUUGGACAUCACGCAUCUUUUUGUUGUUGCCGUUGUUAGCCGGUUCUGACUCAUGGCGAUCCUAUACACAACAGAACGAAACACUGCCAGGUCCUGAGCCAUCCUCAUAAUUGUUGCUAUUCUUGAGCCCAUUGCUGCAGCCGCUGGUCAAUCCACCUGGUUGAGGGUCUUCCUCUUUUCCGCAGACUCUCUAUUUUACCAAGCGUGAUGUCCUAUUCCAGGGACUGCUGCCUCCAGAUAACAUGUUCAAAGUAUGUGAGACAUAGUCUCCCCAUCCUUGCUUCUAAGGAGCAUUCUGGUUGCACUUCUUCCAAGACAGGUUUAUUCAUUCUUUUGGCAGUCCGUGGUAUAUUCAAUAUUCUUCGCCAACACCAGAGUUCAAAGGUGUCAAACUUCUUCUCUCUUCCUUAUUCAUUGUCCAGUUUUCCCAGGCAUAAGAAGAGAUUGAAAACACUAAAGCUUGGGUCAGGCCCACCUUAGUCCUCAAGGUGAUAUCUUUGCUUUUCAACACUUUAAGAGGUCUUUUGCAGCCCAUUUGCCCAGUGCAAUGAGCCUUUUGAUUUCUUGACUGCUGCUUCCAUGGCUGAUGAUUGUGGAUACAAAUAAAAUGAAUUCCUUGACAAGCUCAAUCUUUUUUCAUCUAUCAGGGCGUUAUUUAUUGGUCCAGUUGUGAGGAUUUUUGUUUUCUUUAUGUUGAGGUGUAAUCCAUGCUGAAGACUGUGGUCUUUGAUUAUCAACAGUAAGAGCUUCAAGUCCUCUUCACUUUCAGCAAACAAGGUUGUGUCAUCUGCCUAACGCAGGUUGUUAAUGAGUUUUCCUCCAAUCCUGAUGCCCUGUUCUUCUUCAUAUAGUCCAACUUCUUGGACUAUUCACUCAGUAUACAGAUUGAAUAGGUGUGGUGAAAGGAAUCAACCCUGAUGCACACCUUUCCUGACUUUAAACUGUGCAGUUUCCCCUUGUUCUAUUCGAAUGACUGCCUCCUGAUCCAUGUACAGAUUCCUCAUGAACACAAUUAAGUGUUCUGGAAUUCCCAUUCUUCACAAUCUUAUCCAUAAUUUGUUAUAAUCCACACAGUCUGAUGCCUUCGCAUAGUCAAUAAAACGCAGGUAAACAUUUUUCUGGUAGUCUCUGCUUUCAGCCAGGAUCCAUCUGACAUCAGCAAUGAUAUCCCUGGUUCCACAUCCUCUUCUAAAUCUGUCUUGAAUUUCUGGCAGUUCCCUGUCCAUAUACUGCUGCAGCCAUUUUUGAAUGAUCUUCAGCAAAAUUUUACUUGUGAGUGAUAUUAAUGAUAUUGUUCAAUAAUUUCUGAAUUAGAUUGCUCACCUUCCUUGGGAAUAGACAUAAAUAUGGAUCUCUUCCAGUCGGUCGGCCCGG